UACGUAGGUGGCAAGCGUUGUCCGGAUUUACUGGGCGUAAAGAGCGCGCAGGCGGUCGUUCAAGUCGCGUGUGAAAGCCCCCGGCUCAACUGGGGAGGGUCACGCGAUACUGAUCGACUCGAAGGCAGGAGAGGGUAGUGGAAUUCCCGGUGUAGUGGUGAAAUGCGCAGAGUAUCAGGAGGAACACCGGUGGCGAAGGCGGGUCUCUGGGCCGAAAUUGACGCUGAGGAGCGAAAGCGUGGGGAGCAAACAG
rnacentral:rRNA from 1 species